GUUUAGUGAAAGGUUGUUGGAUAAUGGAUUAUCUCUUGGUUUAGAUAUACCUACAACACUCAUGGAUAAACUCAAACAAUUGACAAGUGAUUAUUCAGAGAUCAAGCGAAGCUUUCUUCCUUCAUGUGUUCGAUGUAAGGAGAGACAUCUAUGAAAUACAAUUGUAACUGCAUUUAAAGAUGAUAUUACAAAAAGCGUCGAAAGAAAAAUGCAACAUUUUUAGCGGUCGGGGUAAGGGCUGUGCAAAUGUAAUAAGAUCUUCUUAUCAAUGAUCAAUGAAUAUAUAUUUGGUAAUUUGUCAUGUUGAUUAAUAUCUUAUGUUUAAAAUGUACAAUUUUCUAUUAUUAACAGUUAUCUUCUUAGUCACAUCAAUUCGUUGUUCAUAUUUUAUUCGUGUUAAAAAUUAAGAAUAUUAUGUGUAAAUAUGUAAUAUGUAUUUAACUUUGCAAUUUUGUUAUCAAUGCAAAUAAUAGUCUAUAUUUUUAUCAAAAGCUAUAAUAAAGAAUAUAACGCUAAAA